rnacentral:lncRNA from 1 species
GGAAUGGGCUCCCAAAGUCCACACCUAUGCUAGGGAUAAGUACUGAUCUACUACAGGAGGUCCCAUAGAUUUCUGAGGUCUCCUCACUGAAACCCACGUUCCUGCAUACCCCACCUCUUAGUCAUGCCACCUGUUAGGAAACUAAGCCAUGCCCACAGUGUUAGCUGGGGACUUGAUGGCCUGGAGAUGAGGAGCCUUGGAGAAAUGAGAGAAUGCUUAAAACGUUGCUAUUCUUCAUUAGGGAAAUCAGAAACUUCUUCGGGCCUGGGAGAGAAGUGGGACCGGCAUAGGUAGAACUGCAAGUUCUUAGAAAACAUCACUUUUUUUCCAAGCUGAACACAACCCAUCAGAAUUCUUCCAGAGCUGGGAGAAAACUAUGCCAGGAUGCCUAGAAGCUCCUCUGUUCCAGGUUACUCGAAGGGAGAAAGGGAAGGAGGUAGAGGCAGUGCCGAACCAAGGGGACUGUAUAGUAGACAUUUUCAUCCCAGUCCCUCUUCCUCCAGGCCGCAUUUCGAGUCUCCUCCCGAGACUGCAGAUCUUUGUAGGCCCAUAGGUGGUGUACCACAUAGAGCUCUCGUAUUUGUGUAAAGAGGCCUCACACUGCCUCCUGGUUCUCUUGACGGUGCUUGGUGGCCUGAGCCCAGUUGUUUCCCCACUCAAUCAUGGUUCCUGGCUUGAGCUUGUAUGUCCUCAGCUCAUAUAUGUUGGGGCCAGCUCUGGGCUGUGGCUCAUUCCAGAAGCUGAACUCCAGAAGCAACUGGUUUCUCCUGGACAGAAGUAUCUUGCUCCGUUCCUUCCGGAACUCCAGGUACUCCUUGUUGGUUUUUAGCUUGUUCAUGCAGUCCAUGAGGGCUGGAUUGCCACUUGAGAACCGCCAUAGGUGCACUGCCUGGUGCGGCUCCCUGUGCCAGGUGUUCAGUUGCCCACAAGCGAGCAGGGGUCCUCCUCCAGGUGCAGCUUGGGCAGCACAGCCUCCGUCAGACUGUUGUAGGCAUCUAGACAUUCAGGCUUCACAUUGUUGAAAUUGUAUUUUGCAGAGAUUGCUAGUCUCCGUCUUGGACAGCAGAGUGGAGUGGGCGUCCUUCCGAGGAUCCACCUUGUGAACAAAGAGGGAGCGGAACCAGCUGCCUUCACUAUCCUUGGAAUAGAAGCACAUAGCUGCAGCAGCCGCGAGGUUCCCAGUGCACGGUCCUGGCUUUCCCAGAAGCCCCUGUGCUGAAGCAGAGAUGACGCAUGCAUGAUGGGUGGAGCCAUGUUGGGUGGGAGCAGGUCGUAUUUUGU